GCCAGACUCCUACGGGAGGCAGCAGUGAGGAAUAUUGGUCAAUGGGCGGAAGCCUGAACCAGCCAAGUCGCGUGAGGGAUUAAGGCCCUGCGGGUCGUAAACCUCUUUUGCCGGGGAGCAGUGGUCCGGACGCGUCCGGACCGGGAGAGUACCCGAAGAAAAAGCAUCGGCUAACUCCGUGCCAGCAGCCGCGGUAAUACGGAGGAUGCGAGCGUUAUCCGGAUUUAUUGGGUUUAAAGGGUGCGUAGGCGGACAGUCAAGUCAGCGGUAAAAAUGCGGUGCUCAACGCCGUACAGCCGUUGAAACUGGCAGUCUUGAGUGGGCGAGAAGUAUGCGGAAUGCGUGGUGUAGCGGUGAAAUGCAUAGAUAUCACGCAGAACUCCGAUUGCGAAGGCAGCAUACCGGCGCCCGACUGACGCUGAGGCACGAAAGCGUGGGUAUCGAACAGGAUUAGAUACCCGUGUACA
rnacentral:rRNA from 1 species